UNUGGGCUGUAACUGACGCUGAGAAGCGAAAGCAUGGGGAGCGAACAGGAUUAGAUACCCUGGUAGUCCAUGCCGUAAACGUUGGGCACUAGGUGUGGGGGACAUUCCACGUUNUCCGCGCCGUAGCUAACGCAUUAAGUGCCCCGCCUGGGGAGUACGGCCGCAAGGCUAAAACUCAAAGAAAUUGACGGGGGCCCGCACAAGCGGCGGAGCAUGCGGAUUAAUUCGAUGCAACGCGAAGAACCUUACCAAGGCUUGACAUAUACUGGACUGCGUCAGAGAUGGCGUUUCCCUUCGGGGCUGGUAUACAGGUGGUGCAUGGUUGUCGUCAGCUCGUGUCGUGAGAUGUUGGGUUAAGUCCCGCAACGAGCGCAACCCUCGUUCUAUGUUGCCAGCACGUGAUGGUGGGGACUCAUAGGAGACUGCCGGGGUCAACUCGGAGGAAGGUGGGGAUGACGUCAAAUCAUCAUGCCCCUUAUGUCUUGGGCUUCACGCAUGCUACAAUGGCCGGUACAGAGGGUUGCGAUACUGUGAGGUGGAGCUAAUCCCUAAAAGCCGGUCUCAGUUCGGAUUGGGGUCUGCAACUCGACCCCAUGAAGUCGGAGUCGCUAGUAAUCGCAGAUCAGCAACGCUGCGGUGAAUACGUUCCCGGGCCUUGUACACACCGCCCGUCAAGUCACGAAAGUUGGUAACACCCGAAGCCGGUG
rnacentral:rRNA from 1 species